rnacentral:rRNA from 1 species
AUUGAACGCUGGCGGCAUGCCUUACACAUGCAAGUCGAACGGCAGCACGGGAGCAAUCCUGGUGGCGAGUGGCGAACGGGUGAGUAAUAUAUCGGAACGUGCCCAGUCGUGGGGAUAACGUAGCGAAAGCUACGCUAAUACCGCAUACGAUCUAUGGAUGAAAGCGGGGGGAUCGCAAGACCUCGCGCGAUUGGAGCGGCCGAUAUCAGAUUAGGUAGUUGGUGAGGUAAAGGCUCACCAAGCCGACGAUCUGUAGCUGGUCUGAGAGGACGACCAGCCACACUGGGACUGAGACACGGCCCAGACUCCUACGGAGGCAGCAGUGGGGAAUUUUGGACAAUGGGCGCAAGCCUGAUCCAGCAAUGCCGCGUGCAGGAUGAAGGCCUUGGUU